UACGAAGGGGGCUAGCGUUGCACGGAAUCACUGGGCGUAAAGGGUGCGUAGGCGGGUCUUUAAGUCAGGGGUGAAAUCCUGGAGCUCAACUCCAGAACUGCCUUUGAUACUGAAGAUCUUGAGUUCGGGAGAGGUGAGUGGAACUGCGAGUGUAGAGGUGAAAUUCGUAGAUAUUCGCAAGAACACCAGUGGCGAAGGCGGCUCACUGGCCCGAUACUGACGCUGAGGCACGAAAGCGUGGGGAGCAAACAGG
rnacentral:rRNA from 1 species